ACAAACUGGAGGCAAGGGACAGGA
rnacentral:miRNA from 1 species